AGCUUCGGCCAUCCGGCGAGGGAUGGGCCCGCGGUGCAUUAGCUAGUUGGUGGGGUAACGGCUCACCAAGGCAACGAUGCGUAGCUGGUCUGAGAGGAUGAUCAGCCACACUGGGACUGAGACACGGCCCAGACUCCUACGGGAGGCAGCAGCCAGGAAUCUUGGGCAAUGGGCGAAAGCCUGACCCAGCAACACCGUGUGGGUGAUGAAGGCCUUCGGGUCGUAAAGCCCUGUCGAUAGGGACGAAGGGCGAAGGGUUAAUAGCCC
rnacentral:rRNA from 1 species